GCAAGAUCCUCACCUUUGGGCAGGUGAAGAACUCUGAGGUGGAGCAGGUAAAGGGCGUAACCUACUCCUUGGAGUCCUUCCUGGGCCCUCGAGCCAGUACAGAAGACCUGCCCUUCCCUCCAGCUUCCUCCAGUGACUCCUUCAGAAACCAGCUGGUCCCCCGAGAAGGGAAUGCGCUCUACCACUGAGUCAUCUACCUGGCCCCAGGAGACUACCACUGCUUCCACUCCCCCACUGACUGGACCGUCUCACAUCGGUGCCACUUCCCAGGUUCCCUGAUGUCAGUGAACCCUGGCAUGGCCCGAUGGAUCAAAGAGCUCUUUUGUCACAAAGAGUCCUAACUGGAGACUGGAAACAUGGGUUCUUCUCGUUGACAGCAGUGGGAGCCACCAAUGUGGGCUCUAUCCGUAUCCACUUUAACUGAGACCUGCACACAAACAGCCCCAGGUACAGCAAGGGCUCCUACACACACGCCAACAAGGAGGGCAUUCCCAUGCGCAAGGGUGAGCCCCUGGGCGAGUUCAACCUGAGCUCCACCAUCGUGCUCAUCUUCGAGGCACCCAAGGACUUCAACUUGAGGCUGAAGGCAGGACAGAAGAUCUGCUUUGGGGAAGCACUGAGCUCCC
rnacentral:lncRNA from 1 species